CCACCAUGUCGUCUCUCUCUAACCGCCCCUGCCAUCGUCUUGGUUUGGUUGGUUGCCGUUGUGUCUCCCGCCAGUUCGCCCGUCGCCAUCGCUGGAAGGGUUGUGUAGGCCGCCACUCAUGACACUACUCUGCGGUGACCAGUGAAGACCAUGGCAUCGAGACAGCCCAAAAGGGAAACACCGCCGGCCACGGCGCCAGUGGAGGCCUCCCUGUCUGCCGGUGACUGGUUAUCGCAGCCGCCACUACCGUUGUCGCGCUCCCUGCUGCUCCGCACCACACUGCCAAACAGGUGAAUUGUUAUCUUUUGAGAUAUAGGAUUGCUCCAAGAAGCACUAUGGGUCUGAGUGUCUAAUAGAUGUGUAGUUUAUAGGCAUUUGUUUAAGUCAAAGGCAACAGGAAGGCACUCCUUAUGUACGUCGAGUAUUAUUUUUUGUCUACAAUACUUCUUGAGAAUGGAUCAGGAUGAGCCAACUAAAUCAUGUACUAUGUAUAUACUGGUGGUGUCUAUAAGGAGAACAUUCCCGUCUAUAUCUGAAUCUAUGAACUAUUAUAUCGAUGAUGUCAAGUUAUGUCUACAUAGUCCGGUCUAUCUGAAUCUAUGAACUAUUAUAUCGAUGAUGUCAAGUUAUGUCUACAUAGCCUGUCUUCGUAUGCUUAUAUAAGCUCAAUGUAUCCU